rnacentral:rRNA from 1 species
CCUACGGGAGGCAGCAGUGGGGGAUAUUGCACAAUGGGGGGAACCCUGAUGCAGCGACGCCGCGUGGGUGAAGGCGCGUUUCUGCGCGUAAAGCCCUAUCGGCAGGGAAGAAGGAGGACGGUACCUGACUAAGACGCCCCGGCUAACUACGUGCCAGCAGCCGCGGUAAUACGUAGGGGGCAGGCGUUAAUCGGAAUUACUGGGCGUAAAGCGCUCGUAGGCGGUAUGUCAAGUCAAGGGUGAAAUCCCCGCGCUCAACGUGGGAACUGCCUUUGAAACUGGCAAACUGGAGUGUGUGAGAGGAUAGUGGAAUUCCAGGUGUAGGAGUGAAAUCCGUAGAUAUCUGGAGGAACAUCAGUGGCGAAGGCGACUAUCUGGCACAUAACUGACGCUGAGGAGCGAAAGCGUGGGUAGCAAACAGGAUUAGAUACCCCAGUAGUC